rnacentral:sRNA from 1 species
UCCAAUUGAUUACAACCUGUAUCGAAAAUUCUGGUCACUUCAGGAUUACUUCAGGAACCCUGUGCAAUGCUAUGAGAAGAUUUCAUGGAAAACUUUUCUCAAGUAUUCUGAAGAAGUUUUAGCUGUUUUUAAGAGUUAUAAAUUAGAUGAUACUCAGGCCUCAAGAAAAAAGAUGGAAGAAUUGAAAACAGGAGGAGAACAUGUAUAUUUUGCAAAAUUUUUAACAAGUGAAAAGCUGAUGGAUUUACAACUGAGUGACAGUAACUUUCGUCGACACAUCCUGUUGCAGUAUCUCAUUUUAUUCCAAUAUCUCAAGGGGCAGGUCAAAUUCAAAAGUUCAAACUAUGUUUUAACUGAUGAGCAAUCACUUUGGAUUGAAGAUACUACAAAAUCAGUUUAUCAAGUAAGUUCAACACGCAACAAACCCAUGAUUGAAAAAAUGGAAAUAUAGGAUUUUCUUUGUUUCAGCCCCAAAUAGGAAAAUAAGGAUAAAGUUAAGCUCAGGUACAAGACCACAAACACUCCUUGGUUCUCUGCCUACAAACCACUCCUAUGAUGCAGAAAGUUGUUGAAAGCUUAGUAUAUUCUUUCUAAUCACAGCUACUAUCUGAAAACCCCCCCGAUGGAGAAAGAUUUUCAAAGAUGGUAGAGGUAUGUGUUUUUUAUGCUUACAUCCUCUUCUUAGCACGAAAUAGAACUUCAGAGGAUUCCAUUAACCUAAAUGUAAUCGCUUUGUUUUUCCCAGCAUAUAUUAAACACUGAAGAAAACUGGAACUCGUGGAAAAAUGAAGGUUGCCCAAGUUUUGUGAAACAUCAGAUACCAAACCUACGAGAAUAAUUCGGAAGAGAACAGCACCCGAGGACUUCCUAGGGAAAGGACCCAGCAAAAAAAUUCUGAUGGGAAA